CCUCUCUCUCUGUAUGUCUCUCUCUCUCUCUCUCUCUCUCUCUCUCUGAGUUGCUUUUCUUGUCUGAAUGUAUGAAAAAUGUGAAGCUGUGAUGAAGAAGUAUCUGUGUACCAGAGACGGUCUCUAAGGAGAAUCCGUCGUUGACGGCAACACAACCCUCUAAGAAUUGUUAUGGUGGUGGUGGUGAGGUUUGGGAAGGUGAAAGGCGAGGUGAUGAUAGAUAUUCAUGUCUGUCAAUCCACUGAACUUAUAAUGUGAUGACUCCAUGAAUCCCGACAGGGUUUUACCACCAAGUUCGUUGGCAAAAACUAGUCUUACGAAGUCUUCAUGGUUUUUAGUCUUGUAAAUAUCUGUUUUCCCCUUCACAAUAUCUGGCACAGGAUCAAUCUUACUCAUAUUUGGAACUAUGAAAUGCUCCAAUUGAAAGACGUGUUCCAAUAUUGGGUUCACAACAGCUCUGUGCUCUUAUAUUCUCCAUUGCUCAUGAUAGUACAAAAGAGCUAAGCUUGCUGUGAAGAUAAUGUUAUUUAUGGAUAGAAAUAUCACAAUUUUGCUAUUUGGAUAGCUUGCAAUUCAGAUGGUAUUGCGAGAGAACUUUUUAUUG